ACGAACGCUGGCGGCGUGCCUAAUACAUGCAGGUAGAACGCACAGUUUAUACCGUAGCUUGCUACACCAUAGACUGUGAGUUGCGAACGGGUGAGUAACGCGUAGGUAACCUGCCUGGUAGCGGGGGAUAACUAUUGGAAACGAUAGCUAAUACCGCAUAAUAUUAAUUAUUGCAUGAUAAUUAAUUGAAAGGUGCAAUUGCACCACUACCAGAUGGACCUGCGUUGUAUUAGCUAGUAGGUGAGGUAACGGCUCACCUAGGCGACGAUACAUAGCCGACCUGAGAGGGUGAUCGGCCACACUGGGACUGAGACACGGCCCAGACUCCUACGGGAGGCAGCAGUAGGGAAUCUUCGGCAAUGGACGAAAGUCUGACCGAGCAACGCCGCGUGAGUGAAGAAGGUUUUCGGAUCGUAAAGCUCUGUUGUAAGAGAAGAACGGGUGUGAGAGUGGAAAGUUCACACUGUGACGGUAUCUGACCAGAAAGGGACGGCUAACUACGUG
rnacentral:rRNA from 1 species